AGAGUUUGAUCCUGGCUCAGGAUGAACGCUAGCGACAGGCUUAACACAUGCAAGUCGAGGGGCAGCACGGUGUAGCAAUACACUGGUGGCGACCGGCGCACGGGUGAGUCACACGUGUGCAACCAACCCCGUACCGGGAGAUAACCCGCGGAAACGUGGACUAACAUCCCAUAACACUCUUCCAUCGCAUGAUGGGGGAUUUAAAACCCCGGUGGUACGGGACGGGCACGCGCGACAUUAGGUAGUUGGCGGGGUAACGGCCCACCAAGCCGACGAUGUCCAGGGGUUCUGAGAGGAAGGUCCCCCACACUGGAACUGAGACACGGUCCAGACUCCUACGGGAGGCAGCAGUGAGGAAUAUUGGUCAAUGGGCGAGAGCCUGAACCAGCCAAGUCGCGUGAGGGAAGAAUGGUCUAUGGCCUGUAAACCUCUUUUACGAGAGAAGAAUAAGAAGCACGCGUGCUUUGAUGCCAGUAUCUCGUGAAUAAGCAUCGGCUAACUCCGUGCCAGCAGCCGCGGUAAUACGGGGGAUGCGAGCGUUAUCCGGAUUUAUUGGGUUUAAAGGGCGCGUAGGCGGGACGCCAAGUCAGCGGUAAAAGACUGCAGCUAAACUGUAGCACGCCGUUGAAACUGGCGCCCUAGAGAGAAGUCGAGGGAGGCGGAACAAGUGAAGUAGCGGUGAAAUGCAUAGAUAUCACUUGGAACCCCGAUAGCGAAGGCAGCUUCCCAGCCUUUAUCUGACGCUGAUGCGCGAGAGCGUGGGUAGCGAACAGGAUUAGAUACCCUGGUAGUCCACGCCGUAAACGAUGCUCACUGGAUCUGGGCGAUACACCGUCCGGGUUCAAGCGAAAGUAUUAAGUGAGCCACCUGGGGAGUACGUCGGCAACGAUGAAACUCAAAGGAAUUGACGGGGGCCCGCA
rnacentral:rRNA from 1 species